AGCCUCGAGGUGUUUACACAUCAAAAUGCAAGUUUGAAGUAGGGCCCUCAAUGGCCCCGGGGCUU
rnacentral:tRNA from 1 species